ACCUGGUGAAUCCUGCCAGUAU
rnacentral:rRNA from 1 species